rnacentral:rRNA from 1 species
AUCAUGGAGAGUUUGAUCCUGGCUCAGAACGAACGCUGGCGGCGCGUCUUAAGCAUGCAAGUCGGGCGGCAAGGGGGAGCGAUCCCCCCUAGAGCGGCGGACUGGUGAGUAACGCGUGGGUGACCUACCCGGAGGGCCGGGAUAGCCAUUAGAAAUAGUGGGUAAUACCGGAUGAGGUUGCGCGGCUGUGGCUGCGCAAAGAAAGGGGCUCCGGCCCCGCCUUUGGAUGGGCCCGCGUCCCAUUAGGUAGUUGGUGAGGUAAAGGCCCACCAAGCCGGAGAUGGGUAGCCGGCCUGAGAGGGUGGACGGCCACACUGGGACUGAGAUACGGCCCAGACUCCUA